rnacentral:rRNA from 1 species
UACGUAGGGGGCUAGCGUUGUCCGGAAUCAUUGGGCGUAAAGCGCGUGUAGGCGGCCCGGUAAGUCCGCUGUGAAAGUCGGGGGCUCAACCCUCGAAAGCCGGUGGAUACUGUCGGGCUCGAGUACGGGAGAGGCGAGUGGAAUUCCCGGUGUAGUGGUGAAAUGCGUAGAUAUCGGGAGGAACACCAGUGGCGAAGGCGGCUUUCUGGCCUGCUCUUGACGCUGAGGCGCGAAAGCUAGGGUAGCAAACGGG